rnacentral:rRNA from 1 species
AUACGUAGGGGGCGAGCGUUGUCCGGAAUGACUGGGCGUAAAGGGCGUGUAGGCGGCUGUCUAAGUCUGGAGUGAAAGUCCUGCUUUCAAGGUGGGAAUUGCUUUGGAGACUGGAUGGCUUGAGUGCGGAAGAGGUAAGUGGAAUUCCCAGUGUAGCGGUGAAAUGCGUAGAGAUUGGGAGGUACACCAGUGGCGAAGGCGACUUACUGGGCCGUAACUGACGCUGAGGCGCGAAAGCGUGGGGAGCGAACAGGAUUAGAUACCCUGGUAGUCCACGCGGUAAACGAUGAAUGCCAGGUGUUGCGGGUAUCGACCCCUGCAGUGCCGGAGUAAACACAAUAAGCAUUCCGCCUGGGGAGUACGGCCGCAAGGUUGAAACUCAAAGGAAUUGACGGGG